rnacentral:rRNA from 1 species
CCAGCAGCUGCGUUAAUUCCAGCUCUAAUAGCGUAUAUUAAAGUUGUUGCAGUUAAAAAGCUCGUAGUCGGAUGUCGGGCUCGGGCAGGCUGUCGGCCUCGGUUGGGCAGCUUGCUUGGGUCUUCUAGCUCGGGGGCCCCGUGCCAUUUAACCGUGGUGCGCGGGAACACGGGCCGUUUACUUUGAAAAAAUUAGAGUGUUCAAAGCAGGCCUACGCUUGAAUACAUUAGCAUGGAAUAAUGGAAUAGGACUUUGGUUCUAUUUUGUUGGUUUCUAGGACCGAAGUAAUGAUUAAUAGGGACAGUUGGGGGCAUUCAUAUUCCAUUGUCAGAGGUGAAAUUCUUGGAUUAACGGAAGAUGAACUUCUGCGAAAGCAUCUGCCAAGGAUGUUUUCAUUGAUCAAGAACGAAAGU